rnacentral:rRNA from 1 species
UCAACAAAGGUGUACUAACUACACACUACACUCGCCAGGGAAUUACGAGCAAUUUGCUUAAAACUCAAAGGACUUGACGGUAUUUCGAACCCCCCUAGAGGAGCCUGUCCUGUAAUCGAUAACACACGAUCCACCUAACCACCUUUUGCCCUAAACAGCCUGUAUACCGCCGUCGCAAGCUAAGCCCGUGAGGGACAAAACCCCAGCACAAUAACACACCUCUAAGCUAGUACGUCAGGUCAAGGUGCAGCCUAUAAGUUGGUAGAGACGGGCUACAUUUUCUACAUCAUAGAAAUUGGUCACGGAGAGGCCUGUGAAACCAGGACUGUCAAAGACGGAUUUAGCAGUAAAUUAGGAGAAGAGUGCCUAAUUGAAGGUGGCCCCGGAAUAUGUACACACCGCCCGUCACCUCA